rnacentral:rRNA from 1 species
AUACGGAGGGUGCAAGCGUUAAUCGGAAUUACUGGGCGUAAAGAGUACGUAGGUGGUUUAUUAAGUCAGAUGUGAAAGCCCCGGGCUUAACCUGGGAACUGCAUUUGAUACUGGCAAACUAGAGUAUGGUAGAGGCGGGUAGAAUUCCUAGUGUAGCGGUGAAAUGCGUAGAUAUUAGGAGGAAUACCAGUGGCGAAGGCGGCCCGCUGGACCAAUACUGACACUGAGGUACGAAAGCGUGGGUAGCGAACAGGAGUAGAAACCCUAGUAGUCC